ACUCUGCAGCCUCAGGGCAGCGAGUCUGACAGUGAAGAUCCCCCAAGGCCACAGGCCAGUGAUUCAGAAAGCGAGGAGCCUCCCAAACCUCGGAUCAGUGAUUCAGAAAGCGAGGAGCUCCCCAAACCUCGGAUCAGUGACUCAGAAAGUGAGGAUCCUCCAAGGCCCCAGGUCAGUGACUCAGAAAGUGAGGAGCUCCCCAAACCCCGAGUCAGUGAUUCAGAAAGUGAGGAUCCCCCAAGGCCACAGGCUAGUGACUCGGAAAGUGAGGAGCUCCCCAAACCCCGAGUCAGCGACUCGGAAAGUGAGGACCCUCAGAAAGGACCUGCUAGUGAUUCUGAAGCUGAGGAUGCCUCCAGACAUAAAGAAAAGCCAGAGUCAGAGGACAGUGAUGGGGAGAAUAAGAGGGAAGACUCUGAAGUGCAGAAUGAGUCAGACGGCCAUGCAGACAGAAAAGGACUCCACAGCUCUGACAGCGAGGAGGAAGAACCCAAGAGGCAAAAGAUUGACAGUGAUGACGACGGAGAAAAGGAGGGGGAUGAGAAAGUAGCAAAGCGGAAGGCUGCCGUGCUUUCUGAUAGUGAGGACGAAGACAAAGCAUCAGCAAAGAAGAGUCGAGUUAUCUCUGAUGCUGAUGAUUCUGAUAGUGAUGUUGUAUCAGACAAAUCAGGCAAAAGAGAGAAGACGGUAGCAUCUGAUAGUGAAGAAGAAGUCGGGAAAGAAGAGUCUUCUG
rnacentral:lncRNA from 1 species